AUUUAUUUGAUCACAAACCUGACUGGCAGUGGAAUAUUGCAGCUUCUGGUUUUAGCAGGUUUCACAAGAAUCUUAAUGAGAUGCGCAAGACCAUCUCAAUCAGUGAGCGUCCAACAGGUUUGCAUUUGGUUGUUCGCUGCUAGACUCCUUUGAAUGUUUAAUCUAGGCCCUAAAUGUACUAGCUGAUAACUGCUGAUUUGUAUUUCCAUCAGUGCCAGUCACUAAUCUAGUGAGCAG